CCCUUAGAUGUUCUGGGCUGCACGCGCGCUACACUGAUGCGUUCAACGAGUUUAUGACCUUGCCCGAUAGGGUUGGGUAAUCUUUUUAAAUCGCAUCGUGAUGGGGAUAGAUUAUUGCAAUUAUUAAUCUUCAACGAGGAAUUCCUAGUAAGCGCGAGUCAUCAGCUCGUGCUGAUUACGUCCCUGCCCUUUGUACACACCGCCCGUCGCUCCUACCGAUUGAAUGGUCCGGUGAAGCGUUCGGACCGUGGCCUUUGGACGGUUCGCCGUCUGUUGGCUGCGGGAAGUUCGUUAAACCUUAUCAUUUAGAGGAAGGAGAAGUCGUAACA
rnacentral:rRNA from 1 species